CGGAGGGCCUUUCUGGUGGGGGAUGAGGACCCUAGAUGGGGACACCCCUGCGCAUUCUUACGUGAUGUCAACGACCCCUGCGACACAAACCCUAUUGUCUCCACUCACCCCGGGUUGACCGGUGGGCCCUUAAGGCCGUGGGGGAAGUUGCUUGCUUGGCCCCAGAGGAGGUUGACCAGACUGACUAUGCAAGAGGAGUUGGAAAGUGAAGGGGAGGAGACUGGAUAACCGAUUGUGGGCAGUUUGUGUGCAUUUAGGCCCCGCUCCCCCAGUUUUCCUUUAAGUUUCCACAUACAGCAUUGGAUCUAGGUAAUUAUAUAAAUUACAUAUUUUAUUAUUUUAUUUAUUUCUGAGACAGUGUCGCUCUGUCGCGCAGGCUGCAGUGCAGUGGAGCGAUCUAGGCUCACUGCAGCCACCGCGUCCUGGGUUGAAGCCAUUCUCCUGCCUCAGCCCAGAGUAGCUGGGAGUACAGAUACACACAACCACACCCAGCUAAUUUUUUUUGUAGAGACGGAGGUGUUUUUUUUGUUUGUUUGUUUUUUGGGUUUUUUUUUUUUUUUUUUUUUUUGAGACAGAGUCUCGCUGUGUCGCCCAGGCUGGAGUGCAAUUGCGCGAUCUCGGCUCACUGCAACCUCCACCUCCCGGGUUCAAGUGAUUCUUCUGUCUCAGUCUCCCGAGUAGCUGGAGUUACAGGCACCUGCCACCACUCCCAGCUGAUUUUUUAAUUUUUUUUGAGACAGAGUCUCGCUCUGUUGCCCAGGCUGGAGUGCAGUGGUGCGAUCUCGGCUCACUGCAAGCUCCGCCUCCCGGGUUAACGCCAUUCUCCUGCCUCAGCCUCCCCAGUAGCUGGGACUACAGGCGCCCGCCACCACGCCCAGCCAAUAUUUUGUAUUUUGUUUAGUACAGACAGGGUUUCAUUGUGUUAGCUAGGAUGGUCUCGAUCUCUUGACCUCGUGAUCCGCCCGCCUUGGCGUCCCAAAGUGCUGGGAUUACAGGCAUGAGCCACCGCGCCUGGCCUAAUUUUUAUAUUUUUAGUAGAGACGGGGUUUCACCAUUCUGGCCGGGCUGGUCUUAAACUCCUGACCUCGUGAUCCGCCCAUCUCAGCCUCCCAAAGUGCUGGGAUUACAGGCGUGAGCCACCAUGCCCGGCCUUGUUUUUUUUUUGUUGUUGUUUUUUGUUUUUGUUUUUUCUUUGAGAUGGAGUUUCACUCUUCUUGCCCAGGCUGGAGUGCAAUGGCACGAUCUUGGCUCACUGCAACCUCUGCCUCCUGGGUUCAAGCGAUUCUCUUGCCUCAGCCUCCCAAGUAGCUGGGAUUACAGGCAUGUACCACCACAGCCAGCUGAUUUUGUACUGUUAGUACAGACAGGGUUUCACCAUGUUGAUCAGGCUGGUCUUGAACUCCUGACCUCAGGUGAUCUACCCGCCUCGACCUCCCAAAGUGCUGGGAUUACAGGCGUGAGCCACCACGGCCGUUGUUUUGUUUUUUGAGACAGAGUCUGGCUAUUGUCGCCCAGGCUGGAGUGCAAUGGUGCGAUUUUGGCUCACUGCAACCUCCACCUCCUGGGUUCAAGUGAUUCUCCUGCCUCAGCCUCCUGAGUAGCUGGGAUUACAGGCGCCCAUCACCACACCCAGCUAAUUUUUGUAUUUUUAGUAGAGACGCGUGUUUCGCCACAUUGGCCAGGUUGAUCUGGAACUCCUGACCUCAGGUAAUCCACCUGCCUUGGCCUCUCAAAGUGUUGGGAUUACAGCCGUGAGCCUCCGCACCCAGCCGAGAUGGAGGUUUUUUUAAUUUUUUUUGAGACGGAGUCUCACUCUGUCGCCCAGGAUGGAGUGCAGUGGCACGAUCUUGGUUCACUGAAAGCUCCGCCUCCCGGUUUCACGCCAUUCUCCUGCCUCAGUCUCCUGAAUAGCUGGGACUACAGGUGCCCGUCACCAUGCCUGGCUAAUUUUUUUUGUAUUUUUAGUAGAGACGGGGUUUCACCGUUAGCCAGGAUGGUCUUGAUCUCCUGACCUCAUGAUCUGCCUGCCUCGGCCUCCCAAAGUGCUGGGAUUACAGGCGUGAGCCACUGUAACUGGCCUGUUUUGUUUUUUUCAUAGAGACAGUCUUGCCCAGGCUGGAGUGCAGUAGUGUGAUCAUUGCUCACUGUAGCCUUGACCUCCUGGCCUCAAGUGAUCCUCCCACUUCAGCCUCCAGAGUAGCUGAGACUAAAGGUACACACCACCACACCCGGCCAAUUUUUGCGUGCCUGUAGCUAGACUUCAGAAUUGCUCAUCUCAGCCUCCAGAGUAGCCGGGAUAAUAGGCAUGCUCCACUAGGUCUUGUAGUGAAUUUACUAUUUUUUUAUAUUUACUACUAUUUUUAUUAUGAAAGUACAUGUAUUACUGUUCAAGUUGCAAGCUACUAUAAAUCAGAUCUGAUAUCUUGAAUCCAUUCUAUUAAAACUUUUACCUAGAAAGAACUUGCAGAAUAUAAACAGUGACAAAGGAAACAAUAUAUAUAUAUAUAUAUCUGGCCGGGCGCAGUGGCUCACACGUGUAAUCUCAGUACUUCGGGAGGCCGAGGGGGGCGGAUCACCUGAGGUCGGGAGGUGGAGACCAGCCUGACCAACAUGGAGAAACUCGGUCUCUACUAAAAAUACACAAUUAGCCAGGCGUGGUGGUGCAUGCCUGUAAUCCCAGCUACUCAGGAGGCUGAGGCAGAAGAAUCACUUGAACCCGGGAGGCGGAGGUUGCAGUGAGCCGAGAUCACACCAUUGCACUCCAGCCUGGGCACAAGAGCGAAACUCGGUCUCAAAAUAAAAAAAUGCUAAAAAAAAAAAAAAAAAAAAAAAAAAAAAAGAUACAAAAAUCAGCCUAGCGUGGUGGCGGGCACCUGUAGUCACAGGUACUCGGGAGGCUGAGGCAGGAGAAUCGCUAGAACCCAGGAGGCAGAGGUUGCAGUGAGCUGAGAUUGCACCACUGCACUCAAGCCUGGGCAACAAGAGCCCAGGAGUCUCUUGGAGCCCAGGAGUGAGAUGGAGUCUCCCUGGCUCACUGCAACUUCCGCCACUGCAACCCCUGCCUCUUGGGUUCAAGCAAUUCUCCUGCCUCAGCCUGCGGAGUAAUUGGGACUACAGGCACGCGUCACCACGCCCAGCUAAUUUUGUAUUUUUAGUAGAGACGAGAUUUCACCAUGUUGGCCAGGCUGGUCUUGAACUCCUCACCUCAGGUGAUCAGCCCAUCUCGGCCUCCCAAAGUGCUGGGAUUACAGGUGUGAGCCACCAUGCCCAGCUGACAAAGGAAAACAUUUAGUGAAG
rnacentral:lncRNA from 1 species